UACGGGGGGAGCAAGCGUUGUUCGGAUUUACUGGGCGUAAAGGGCGCGUAGGCGGCCACCGCAAGUCGACUGUGAAAUCUCCGGGCUUAACCCGGAAAGGUCAGCCGAUACUGCGGGGCUAGAGUGCAGAAGGGGCAACUGGAAUUCUCGGUGUAGCGGUGAAAUGCGUAGAUAUCGGGAGGAACACCAGUGGCGAAGGCGGCUCGCUGGGCCGGACCUGACGCUGAGGCGCGAAGGCGUGGGGAGCGAACGGG
rnacentral:rRNA from 1 species